rnacentral:rRNA from 1 species
UGGGGAAUAUUGCACAAUGGGGGAAACCCUGAUGCAGCGACGCCGCGUGAGCGAAGAAGGUUUUCGAAUCGUAAAGCUCUGUCCUAUGAGAAGAUAAUGACGGUAUCAUAGGAGGAAGCCCCGGCUAAAUACGUGCCAGCAGCCGCGGUAAUACGUAUGGGGCGAGCGUUGUCCGGAAUUAUUGGGCGUAAAGGGUACGUAGGCGGUCUAUUAAGUCAGGUGUGAAAGCGUGAGGCUUAACCUCAUUAAGCACUUGAAACUGAUAGACUUGAGUGAAGGAGAGGAAAGUGGAAUUCCUAGUGUAGCGGUGAAAUGCGUAGAUAUUAGGAGGAAUACCGGUGGCGAAGGCGACUUUCUGGACUUUUACUGACGCUCAGGUACGAAAGCGUGGGGAGCAAACAG